CAUAUUUUUUAUAAAGUUGAUAACAAGCACAAACUAUAGUAACUGUUUGAUUUCUUCACAAGUGUUGGUAAAAUAAAAUUAAAUGGAUAGAAUACAUGCCUAUUUCUGAAAAACACCAAGAAAACCACUAUUUUCAACUUUCUUGCGUUCUAAAAAAUAUGAGCGACUAAGAAUACCACAACAAAAUUUCGUCUGUAGUAAGCAAUAGAUAUGUACUUUCUAUGCUUAAAUUUUUGUCGUGGUAUUCUUAGUCGCUCAUGUUCAAAUAUCGAAAAUUCGGAGAAAAAAUCAUGUGAAAAAUUAUAAUAAUCAGUCUGAAUCGAUCGGCUUAAUUUUUUCCGGAAACAAACAUAUUGUGACGGUGAAGCUGAACUUGCAGAAGUUUGACGACGAUUGUCGCCUGAUGUCACUAUAGAAGCUAUAAUAGUAGCCUAUGUACAGUGAAAUUGUGCACAGAAGCCGUGUAGUACUUAGAAGCUCAAAGUAAUAUCAUGAAUCUUCAUUGUAUGUGCUAGCUUGUGUAGAUCUGCUUCAUGAAAAUUGGACUCAAUUCAGAUGAAAAUGUAAAGUAAAUGGCCAUGAAAGAAUAUUACAUAUAACAGAAUUUUUGUGAGCAGGCAUAUACUGUAAACCAACUUUUAUUUGUAUGCGAGAAAUUUUUGCAAGGGCUUUGUCACCUCGAAUAUAUCUCACCAUGAACCAGUCUUUGGCGUAUGAUUGUAAUAACAAAACGUACGUGGAUUAAGCUUGCGAAAUAAAGUCGUCGCGAAUAAAUGGUAGUUUACAGUAUGUAUAUAGCAUAUAUUUUUAAAAGUGUGUUGUUCAAAGUUGAUUUUUUUCUUUCAGAUAAUGAAACAUUAUUACAGUGCACAUAUGUACAUGUAAUUGUGAUAUGUAUUUGCUAAUGUACAUGAAUGUACCAUACAUUCUGUUGAUAGUACGAUAAAUUAUGUUGAUUAUUUAAUUUACAUGUAGCCUGUUGUGAAGAAUUCUUUGAUGUGUACAUACAACAUGUGUACAUGUACAAUCACAAUGUUGUUGACUAUAAUAUGAUUUCUUGAAACCAUUACUUUAAUAUGAAUACUAUAUGUUAUGUGUGCUUGCUUAAGCCAUUAUAUGUGAAGUAUAAUGGACGAUACUAAUUUUUACAUGUGUUUCAUUUAUGUUUGUUAAUACUUAAGGGAGAUAUGUAUUAUUCUUUGUUACAUGUACAGGUACCAAUCAUUGGAUUUGAAUAAAAUCGAUAAUACUAUUUUGUACAUUAUCUUCUCUCUUUCUGUGAACACAUAUAUUCUGGAAUGUGUACCUAGGAAACAUGCACAUUUCAAUAUGUAGAAAAAAAUAAGGAGAAAAAUAACUGCAAUGUUAAAUACUAUGUACCUUUUUUACUUGUGCAUGCUGUUUGUAUUUGGGCUAGAAAUAUUAUUUAAUUGGUUACCGAAAAAAGUCAUUGAAUAAAUGAAUUUCUGAAUUUAAA